UACGAAGGGUGCAAGCGUUAUUCGGAAUCACUGGGCGUAAAGGGUGCGUAGACGGUAUGUUAAGUUUGUUGUUAAAGGCUCCGGCCUAACUGGAGUAUUGCGAUGAAAACUGGCGUGCUAGAGGGUGAGAGAGAGAAGUGGAAUUCCCGGAGUAGCGGUAAAAUGCGUGGAUCUCGGGAGGAACACCAAUGGCGAAGGCGGCCAUCUGGACGACAACUGACGCUGAGACGCGAAAGCGUGGGGAGCAAACAGG
rnacentral:rRNA from 1 species